GAUUUCAACUAAAAAAGUCAUCAACAACAAAGUUGUAUAACUCAUCAAGAUCUAUAACUUUUAUGUUUGUCAUUUUUUCAUCCGACGAAGUGUUAGUAACAUUGUUCACAAAAUUGACAUAUAUGUGUUAUAGAUAAAUUAGAUGAGAUACGUGAAUUUUAUGAACAAUAUUACUAUCACUCUCUCGGAUGAAUAAAUGACCAAAAUAAAAGUUAUAGAUAUUGAUGAAUUAUACAUCUUUGUUGUUGAUGACUUUUCCAAUUGAAAUA
rnacentral:pre_miRNA from 1 species